AAAGAAUUAGUUAAAUUAAAAUAAUAGUAUGUCAUACUAAAGAUAUUAGAAAAAUUAUUCCUGAUAUUCUUUU
rnacentral:tRNA from 1 species